GGACCGCUCGUCCACGUGGGGCCGCGCGUUCCGGAGGUUCCUCAUGACGCAGCAAGAGACGUGGUUGGACGAUGACAGCAAGACGGGCACCAGAGCGCGCGCGGCGAACGGCUCGCCCAUGUCAGGGAGGCAGAGCAGGGCAAGCCUGCGCAGGUCGAUCGCCAGGAUCUCGGGCGU
rnacentral:SRP_RNA from 13 species